AUUGAACGCUGGCGGCAUGGCUAAUGCAUGCAAGUCGAACGAAAGCCCUUCGGGGCGAAAGUGGCGAAAGGGCGAGUAAUACGAUCGAACGUACCCCAAGGUGGAGGAUAGUGUCGGGAAACUGACGGUAAUACUCCAUGUGCUCUUCGGAGGAAAGCUUUGGCGCCUCGGGAGCGGCGAUCGUCCUAUCAGGUAGUUGGUGAGGUAAUGGCUCACCAAGCCGAAGACGGGUAGCGGGUGUGAGAGCAUGACCCGCCGCAUCGGGACUGAGACACUGCCCGGACUCCUACGGGAGGCUGCAGCGACGAAUCUUCCGCAAUGGGCGCAAGCCUGACGGAGCAAUGCCACGUGUGGGACGAAGCGUCUUCGACGUGUAAACCACUGUCAGAAUCUAGGAACACUGACCAGAUUCAAAGGAAGGGCCGGCUAACCUCGUG
rnacentral:rRNA from 1 species